ACCCGUCUACGCAUCACGUUGGUCGUUGGGCUCGGUCUCGUCCGCUCCUGCUCUUUUCUCCGCACCCAGCGCCGCCGCGGGCGAUUCUAGGGUUUCGUCGCCGGCGGCAACAACCUGCCUGUAGCGAUUCGACGUAGGCAUCCCUGUUCCUCUCCUCCGGAGGCCUGUCUCCUCGCCAUCUCGUCGGUGUAGCCUGAGUGUGGGUCCACGCCCUGCAGACCCACGACGACGGCCUGCAGAUCCAGUCCACCUCCGACGACCUCGACCUAUCUGCAACUUGUGGACAGCCUGCAGAAACAGCUCGUAUUGGAGGCUACACAGAAAAACCUGCACCCAAAAGUUGUAAAGCUCACCAAGAACCUUGCAGGAUAACACAAGUGCUGAAUUUUGGAAAUGGAUCAUGGGCGUUAUGCUCCACAACAUGGAUGGGAGAACAACAGUGCACCAAAUGGGUAUGGUGUAAUUAAUGAGCCAGAUUUUAGGUCUGGUGGAUCCUACAAUGCUAGGAGAUCUGUGGAUGAAGGCUUUCCUAGAGAUUCAUAUGGAAGGGGUGCAUUCUAUCAUGAUACACAUGAUAGAAAUAUGUAUGCAUCACCACCCUCUGCCGGUGGAAUGUGGUCUCAGCCUCGAAGGAAUCAUGAUGAGGACUAUGCAACUGCAAGAGACCAUAGAAGGCAUGACACUGAUUAUCGCAAUGAUGGAAAGCAUCAUGAGUUUGAUUCAUACAGAGGAGUUGAUAGACUCCAUGAUAAUUAUCGUGCUACUGACAACUAUUAUGAAUCUGGCAGUCACCGUGAUUUUGGUGCUGAUAGGAGCAAAAGGAUUGGAAGCAGAGAACGGGCGGAGUUUCAUGGUGAGUUUGAAGACCGGUACCGCAGUUCUCACCAAAGCAGGGAGGACAGCUAUGAGAGAGAUCAUGAAUAUGGUCGUUAUGGUUAUGAUUCGGAUUAUGAAAGAGGCAAGAGAGAUAGUAGCUGGAGAAGACGUGAUUCAUGUGACAGCGAACGUGAAAGGAGUGGAUUAAGUCGUGAAAGAGAGGAAAGCCCGUACACGCGCCAUAGCCGUUCUCGAUCACAUGGGCGCGAUGACCGAUCAAGAUCACGGUCUAGAUCAAGAUCUCCUCGUCCGAGAAGUCAUGGUCGGAACCAAAGAGAUGGCCUGUAUUAUGAUAAUCGAUUUGACAGAAGAAGGGAAUAUGAUUGGGAUGAUAGGGGGCAUGGUGAUUCAGUGGCUCCAUCUGCCACUGUUGUUGUCAAGGGACUGUCCCUGAAGACUAAUGAUGAUGACCUAUAUAAGAUUCUUGCUCAGUGGGGACCUCUACGCAGUGUGCGUGUGAUCAGGGAACGGAAUUCUGGCAUGUCUCGUGGAUUUGCUUUUAUUGACUUCCCCACUGUGGAAGCAGCCCGUAGAAUGAUGGAAGCUACAGGAGAGAAUGGUCUCGAAAUUGAUGGCAGGAAUGUGUUCUUUCAGUACAGUAGUAAACCAACCGGGGGGAUGGGUGGGCCUUCUCUUGGACAAGAAAAUUUUACGAGGCCUACUUAUGGGCACAGGACUGCUGCUGCACCGUGUGACUGGAUUUGUACUAUAUGCGGAUGUAUGAAUUUUGCCCGCAGGACCUCCUGCUUUCAGUGCAAUGAACCUCGUACUGAGGAUGCUCUUCCAGCUGAUGCGACAGGUUCCGCUUCACACUUUGGGAGAAGGGGAUCUGAACUAGGUCCAACUCAUGUUUUAGUUGUUCGUGGCUUGGAUGAAAAUGCUGAUGAGGAAAUGCUUCGGUACGAAUUUGCUAAGCACGCACCAAUAAAGGACAUCCGCCUUGUUCGGGAUAAGUUUACUCAUGUGUCUAGAGGUUUUGCCUUCGUUCAUUUCCAUUCGGUGGAAGAUGCUACGAAAGCUCUGGAAGCUACAAACGGGAUUACACUUGAGAAAAACGGUCAGGUUUUGCGUGUAGCAUAUGCUAAAAGUACACAUGGACCUGCAUCAGGGGGUUCUCAGUCAAACAGCCUUGCUGCAGCUGCCAUUGAGGCUGCAUCAUUUGCUCAGCAGUAUGAUGCCAUAGGUUGGGCUCCAAAAGAGUACAAUCCUGAUGACAAACAGAACAACAACUCUGAAUCUCAAAAAGAUGGCAGCACAGCACAGUCGGGAUUUGUUUGGGAUGAAAAAUCUGGUUACUACUAUGAUUCUGCAUCUGGAUUCUAUUAUGAUGGAACUACUGGCCUUUACUAUGACAGCAACUCUGGAGUUUGGUAUUCAUAUGAUCAACAGACUCAACAAUAUGUCCCUUGUAAUGACCAGAGCAACACUAAGGCAGCCGGGGAGGCGGCCAGCGAAAACACGAAAACCUCAGAUAGUAAUAGUGGCAAAAAGGUUGUGAUCUCUGCGCCUGCUGCCACAAUUAAACAAAGUGAGAAAACUUCACUUCCUGACGCUGUUCAAGCUGCUGCAAAUGCUGCACUGGCUGCAGAAAAGAGAGAAAAGGAGAAGGCAAAAGAGAUUAAAUUGGCCUCAAAAAAUAGUCUCAUAGCUAAUAAGAAGAUGAGCAAUGUCCUAGCUAUGUGGAAGCAAAGGAAUCAAGAAGGGCAGGCCGCACGAAUUGUCCUUGAUGACAAAGAACCAGCAAAUUCUGAUGAUAAAUUUAGUCAUUCACGUAGUGGAACUGGAUUCUCUUUGAAAAGCAAGCCAAAUUCUGACCUUGAAAAUGCUAUGGGCAAUUCUCUUGGCCAAGGAAUGACAUCGACUCAAACAUUGGAUUCUGUUGUAAAGCCUAGACCUGUCAGUAACAGCUUAGGGACUACAGUUAUGGGUGUCAUAAGAGGUUCUGCUAGAGGAGUGAUCAAGUCAGAUACUACGUUUCACGCAUUAUCUGAUGCUGGUAGCACUGAUUCCCGCACCACUAUAACCACAAGAGCAAGUGGGUUAAUGACAAGUUCUGAGGCACUUAUAACUCCUGCACCCUUCAAAACUGAUGUGUCUGCCUUAGUCUCUAAUACUCCAUCGGGAGUUUCUGGGAGUGGUAAACGUCGGUUUUCUGAGGCACCGGGACAAUCCCAGUACAGGGAUCGAGCUGCAGAAAGACGAAAUCUGUAUGGAUCAUCUCAUGGCACUGAUACUGUUGGAUUGGAUUCAAGGAUUUUUUUGUUACCAUUGGAAUGUAUCCUUGACCCAACAUACAGUUUAGGGAUGAUGUUUUCGGUUUUGCUUGUAAGAUUUUUAUUGAUUUUCUGGAAAUUACCUGUUGUCAAGCUGGUGACUAUCCGUCCCGAAAGGGUUCAAGUGAGAUAGGGUCGAUGCCGUUUCCUCCUGGUGUGGGUGAACGUUCCAGUGGUGAAAUUGGCAACAGCGAAAACUAUGAAGUUAUUACCGCUGAUAGAGCAAUCGAUGAAAGCAAUGUGGGCAACCGCAUUCUACGCAACAUGGGGUGGCAGGAGGGACUGGGUCUCGGAAAGGAUGCCAGCGGUAUCAAGGAACCAGUCCUGGCAAAAUCCGUCGACGCCAGGGCUGGACUGGGAAGUCAGCAGCGGAAGCCUGAUCCAUCCCUUGAAGCCCAAGCCGGGGACAGCUACAAAACCAUCAUCCAGAAGAAGGCCAUGGCAAGAUUCAAGGAGAUGUCUUAGCUACACUGUUUUAUCUAUUUUAUUGCUGCAUUUUGUAGUCCGUUUUUAACAGCAUGCAUUUUUUUGUUUGCUCGUGUGUUUUUUAAAUAAACUGAGCCGCUGAAUUGUGAUUUAUUAUCCUGAAAGGGGCACUACAUAGUUCGAGACCUGGAUGCUUUGGUUCCCUUGUGUGUUAGUUUUCAUUUGCA